rnacentral:lncRNA from 1 species
AUGCGUGUCGCGUGGGUUAUUCUAACAUUAGGCUUGCUGUGGACAGCUCAGGGUGAGGGGGAGGACUCUGGGAACAAGAACGUCACACAAGCAAACAACGACACAGCUCAGGCCUCAGGAACGGCAAGCAACACUACCACCAGCAGCCCCACUUCCACCCAAAACAACAACGCCUCUGAUACUACAGCGAAGCCAACUUCAGCUGCCUCCAGCGCAAUAACCACCAUGAAACCCACGGAUGGAAAGGCCAUGAUCCAAACCAGUGUUGCUCCCAGCCAAGCUCUUACGACAGCAGGACAAACUACCAUCUUGUCUGCGUCAACAACUGUUGCCCUGGACACUACAAAACCGUUAACCACCGUCACCCCAUCAGUGAAGUCCCCCACUGAUGCCCCGACCAUAACCACCGCAGUCAACAAACAAGAAACCACACACGCAGGGGGUGGGAUACUUCUCUCAACCACACAGGAGAGACCAGGCACUCAGACUCCACACAAUCCCAACACCACCACCAACAUCAACACCAACAUCAACACCAGCACCAACAUCAACACCAACACCACCACCAACAUCAACACCAACACCAGCACCAAUAGCCCCAGCACCGGCACCAGCAUCAGUACCACCAGCCCCAGCACCAGCAUCAGUACCACCACCAAGAAUGAGACGGGUGACUCCGUGGUGCCCGUGCCAGGCCAUGUCUCAUCUACCCCUGAAUCCACAACUCCCGCUCAACCCACAACUACCGUCACUAUUGGAACCACUGCACCGACUACCACGACUGUGCCUCCAACUACUACCAAAACUCUGCCUCCAUCCACUGCUGCACCCGUCACGUUCAAUGUAAGGGAUGAGAGAAUGAGAGAGAGAGAGAGAGAGAGAGAGAGAGAGAGAUUUUGGAGUGUUUGCAUUUGA